GUGGUGCGAACUCGCGCUGCGAGCGACGAGGGUGUGCCGAGGUUGCGAGCGACGAGGGUGUGCCGAGGUUGUGGUUCGAGGUUUUGGUACGAAAGGCGUGCGGGUGUGCCGAGGUUGUUGUUCGAGAGUUUGGUGCGAAGAGUUGUGCGGUGUUCGAGGGUUGUGCGAAAAGUGGGUCGAAGGUUUUGUUGCGAGCAGUGGUGUUGGCUCGUGUGUGUGGUUCGAGUAUUGCGACGAAGGUCGCGGUGUUCGAGGGAGUCGUGCGUGUGUUGUUGGCGUAGGUCGAGAGCGAGCGAAGGGUGCGUCGCUGCUGUGCGCGCCAGCGAACCGAAGAAGGCUCGAGUGGGGCUGUGUGGCGAGCGAAGGCCACCGGAGUUCCGUCGCCGGAAUUUUGUGCCGGCGAAAGUCAGUGGUCCCAAUUUCAUAAGCGGCUCGUUCUAUUAAGUCAGCGAAAAUUCUCCGUUACAAGACUAGGUGAGCUGGUGCUGCUGCAUGACAUCAAGCAUAUGGGGGCUAGACUGUAGUUUGAAGUUAACUUUUGGUUUGAUCAUUAAUGAAUUUUAUAGAACAUUGUUACAUGGUUUGAGUUUGAGUAAAGAGGGGUCAUCUGUGAUUCCCGAGUUGUAAUUACAUUUUCUAUUCCGCUGCAGUUUGGUUUUGAGACAAUGAAUUUGAGUUACCGUAUUUCUAAUUAUGCCUUGCGUUCCAUCGCGGCGGUAACACUCCCAAAGUCGAUGCGACGUAGCAUUAGACGUGUAUGGAUUUUGG